AUCCCAUGAUGUGGACACUUUCGCAGCAUAUUUUUGAACCUAUUCCAGGCUUCAUUAAAGUUCUCUGAGUUGCCUUGAUGGAAAACAGGUAUGUCAUGCUUAAGCUU
rnacentral:snoRNA from 1 species